AUUGAACGCUGGCGGCAGGCCUAACACAUGCAAGUCGAGCGGAUGAAGGGAGCUUGCUCCUGGAUUCAGCGGCGGACGGGUGAGUAAUGCCUAGGAAUCUGCCUGGUAGUGGGGGAUAACGUCCGGAAACGGGCGCUAAUACCGCCUACGUCCUGAGGGAGCAAGUGGGGGAUCUUCGGACCUCACGCUAUCAGAUGAGCCUAGGUCGGAGUAGCUAGUUGGUGGGGUAAAGGCCUACCAAGGCGACGAUCCGUAACUGGUCUGAGAGGAUGAUCAGUCACACUGGAACGUGGACACGGUCCAGGCUCCUAAGGGAGGGAGCAGUGGGGAAUAUUGGACAACGGGCGAAAGUCUGAUCCAGCCAGGGCGCGUGUGUUGAGAAGGUCCUCGGAUUGGAAAGCACGUUAAGUUGGGAGGAAGGGCAGUAAGUUGAGACCUUGCUGUUUUGACGUUAACAACAGAAUAAGCACCGGCUAACUUCGUG
rnacentral:rRNA from 1 species